GACCUCAGGUGAUCUGCCUGCCUCGACCUCUUGAGUGCUGAGAAAUAUAGGCGUGAGCCACCACACCCAGCCCCAAGCAACUUUUUGAAGCAGGCAUUAUUACCAUGCCCAUUUUAUAGAUGAGAAAAGAGCUGGAUCCAGGUAACUUGUCCAAAGUUACACCCUAGGAAGUGUUAAGUCAGUACUUGAACCCAAGCAAUCUGGCUUCGCAACCUACACUCUUAGUCAUUAUUGUCUGUUACCUCUUAUGAGAAGUGUUUGAUUUGAGUGAUCAUUUAUGGAAGAAGCACUCAUAGUCGCUGUCAGGCUGUUGCAGUGGAGUUGUUAGAAGCACAGCUAUGCAUUGUGCGUCCGGCCAGUUCCGGGUCAUUUCUCAUCUUCUCUUCACCAGAGUAUAAAAGUGAGACUUGGCAAAAUGCUUUUGUAUCUUAAAUGGUAUUUUUGGUAGUAUUUGCUGGAAAAGAGGAAUUUUGCAAAGGUCCCCACCCACAUGGGCAGCCUGUCCCCCUUCUUGUACCACAAGUUGGGUCCUUGAGUGAGGCCUCACAAUGAGUCAGGACAGGCUGCUGAUCUCCCAGUUCAGGGCCCAGAACUGGCUGGCAGGGCUUCAGGGAGAGGGCCCAGCGGUGCUGGGAGCCUGACCCCUCCUGUCUGAGCAGGGCUGGGAGGGUGAUUGGGACACCUGUAUUUCAGGGCCUUGCUACAAGAUGUGUCCUGUUCAGGAUAUGCAAAUUCUCUACUGCUGCCUUAAGAAAUUUUGUUCUGUUUUGCUGAUUUUGCUGUUUUUCUAGUAGGCUUUUUUUUAAAAGUGUUUUUGUUUUCUCAACAGAUUUAAAAGAAGAGAUAUCAAUUUCUAUUAGUGGCCUAAGAACCUAGCUAAAGGGGAGUGCAGCUACAGCCACAGGCCACCAUUGGCUCCUGCCAGCAGGAGACCUGGUUUCUCAGUGCCCAGAAGGGCAACUUGUCACCAAGUGAGCCAGACGCCCUCCUGCUGCGCUGCAGGUUUAAUAUUUGGGUCAGAAUUGGCUCCAUUACCUUUAUUUUCAGCUACAUUUCUUCCAAUUUGAUUGGAGUGAGAGAAGAGCAAUGGGCUGCAGGAUUGUAGAGUGUCAACUGUUUUCUGAGGACCUUUUUCAGAUGUACAUUUGCUUAAAUCAUUCACUUCUGCUCCAAGUUUGAACAUGAAGUGCAGAGGCAGCACCGUUGCUAGCAUCUCAGCAGUGGGACGGAAUAAUAAGUUGACUAUGCAGAGUCCCCUGUUGAUUGCUUAAGUGUUCUCCAUUUUGUGUCCAUUAAUUAGUACUGUAGUUAUCACCGGCAGGGGACCUGGGAGUACUCCAUUUCCUGGGUCCCAUUGGACAGUGACGAGGUGGGGGAAGCUUCAGUGAAGGAGUGUAUUCAGGCAGAAGAUACACUUGAGAUUUUUGAGAGAAAGGAGUGAAAUCAAUGGUUUAUUUUCUUUGUGAGCAGAAUCAACGCAGUUGCACAGCACCACGUUUUCACAGUGUCCAUCUGAGGAGAGGAAUCAGAGGGUGGAAGGCUGCAGUGGCUGCAUGCGACUCAAAGGGUUUGCCUUGGGAGUGAGUGGGCACCCUCUGUGUGUGGCCAGUUGCCUGCCCCACCCCACCACCUGCAUGUGGAAGGCAGGUUACCAUCUUAAGUAGAAAUGUCCAUGGAUUGGAUAAUGUCAUGGAUGUUUUUGAUUAAAUAUUUUGACUCUUUCAUGAAACAUUACAGCCUUCUUCUGGUAAUUGGUUAGUUAUAGCUCAGUGCAGCCAAGUUGGCACAUACUUGGUUUCUUUGAGCAAAUCUUGCCUGUUCAGUUAAUUUAAGUCCAUCCUUAUAACCAGGGUGAUAAUUCUGUCCAGAGCGUUGCUGUUGACGUGAAGCCCUCCAGUGUGUCCUCUUUCAUCUGCUCCUCGUAGCGACGGCCUUAGGUGGCAUUGGCAUUCCUAGGAUCCCUGUUUUAGCAAACCGAGUCUCUUGAGAAAUUAAGUGAUCUCUUAGGUCACACAGCUAAUGCUUCGUAAAGCAUUUCCUAAAUCCAGAUCGCCUUACUCUAAGUCUUAUAAUACUGUUACUACUAUACCAUGUGACUUAGCAACUUAGAAUGUUUUUCAUGGGAAAUGUUAGUGCAAAUUGAAAGAGUCCUUCAUGCUAUGAUCUUUCCUGUUUAUAAAUGCAGCUGCCAUGUUCAUGAGAAUUUAGAGGAAAACAAAAGAACAAGAAAGCAUCUUAUUGAUUAUAGACCCUUUAUAGAUGGUGCAGGGCAUCAGUUCAUAUUUGGUGAGUUGAUGAGUGGCAUUUUCAUGUGGAAUUAAAUAUUGAUGCCAGCUGUGGAGAAGUAUUCUUUCUGAUACCAGCUUUCGGGCGUAGCACUUCAUCACCUGGGGCUUCUCUUCCUUAAUCUAGAGAAUGAAAAUUUUGAACUGGCCUGUCUCUGAAACCCCAUUGAUUAAAAUUCUUGAACUGUAUGAAAUUUGAUAACUUAGACACAAAAAAUAGGUGGACAAUAUGAGAAAAGUUAACAAAUGUUUUAUUUACUUUAAUAUUUUCAGUAAAAUUAAUUCUUAGGACCCUGAGUAACAGGACUGAAAAAUAACUUCGUUGCCAGCACUUUUCUUAUUUUAAAAUUGGCCUGCUGUAUUUUGAAUGUGUAUUGACCUGCAAAUAACAAUAAAAGUAUAUUUUAUGUGUGUAAAUAUUGCUCAGGGAACAAAUUGUCGUAUGGAAUUGAUACUAAGAUUUUCUUUGUUACAAAUGGAAGUCAGUUUCUCUAUGCAUAUAUCCAAGAAACAAAGUCAUCUGGUAAUAGUGUGUUUUUAAAGAUAUGUUUGACAGCAAAAGAACACUUAAAAGCUUUGCUUGGAUUUGCCAUCAUUAGUAAUUAGGGAAUUGCAAAUUGAAACCAUAGUGAGAUAUACCACUCAUUUAGAUUGGCUUAAGUUAAAAAGACUGACCACGUCAGUUAUUGGUGAGGAAGUGAAGGAAUUGAAACUCUCAUACACUGCUGGUGGGAAGGUAAAAAUGAUACACCACUUUGGAAAAACUUGACAGUUUGGUAGGAAGUUAAGCAUACACCUACCAUAUGAUCCAGCCAUUCUACACCUAGAUAUUUAUCUAAAAGAAAGGAAAUCAUAAGUUCAUACAGAGGCUGUGCCCAAAUGUUUAUAGCAGCUUUGUUUGUAGUGGCUCCAAACUGGAAAUAACCCAGAUGUCCACCAGCAGAUGAAGGGAUGAAUGGUGGUUUCACACAUACAGGGACUGCUAUUCGACAGCGAAAAGGAAUGAACCCUUGAUACACACAGUAGUGUGGAUAAAUCUCAGGGUAAUUAUGCUGAAUGAAAGAAGCUGGACAGAAAAAAAAAAAAA